UACGUAGGGGGCAAGCGUUGUCCGGAUUUAUUGGGCGUAAAGAGCGUGUAGGCGGCCUGACAGGUCUGCUGUGAAAACUCGAGGCUCAACCUCGAGAUGUCGGCGGAAACCGUCUGGCUAGAGUCCGGAAGAGGAGAGUGGAAUUCCUGGUGUAGCGGUGAAAUGCGUAGAUAUCGUAAGGAAGACCAGUGGCGAAGGCGGGUCUCUGGACAGUUCCUGACGCUGAGGCACGAAGGCCAGGGGAGCAAACGGG
rnacentral:rRNA from 1 species